UUCUUCGGACAAUAUACAAGGUGCUGCAUGGUUGUCGUCAGCUCGUGCCGUGAGGUGUCGGGUUAAGUCCCAUAACGAGCGCAACCCUUGUCCUUAGUUACCAGCACGUUAUGGUGGGCACUCUAAGGAGACUGCCGGUGACAAACCGGAGGAAGGUGGGGAUGACGUCAAGUCAUCAUGGCCCUUACGGCCUGGGCUACACACGUGCUACAAUGGUCGGUACAAAGGGUUGCCAAGCCGCGAGGUGGAGCUAAUCCCAUAAAACCGAUCGUAGUCCGGAUCGCAGUCUGCAACUCGACUGCGUGAAGUCGGAAUCGCUAGUAAUCGUGAAUCAGAAUGUCACGGUGAAUACGUUCCCGGGCCUU
rnacentral:rRNA from 1 species